UGCAGGGGACUACACGUCCUACAAUGCCUCCGUGCCACCCUACGGGCAGUACAGCACGGGGUACCCUGGAGACCCGGCAUGGAGCAUGCGAUAUGGCCACAGCGGCUUGCUGAACACCCCCGCCUACUACUACACCCACUCCGUCAGGAACGAGCCGGCAACAGCAGCAGUGACAUCAUCGAAGACGUAAUCAAGGUCCCUGGGGAGGGACAUCAUGACGUAGCUCGUGACGUUUCUGUGAACAUUACCUGACUAACGGCUCCCCACAAUCCCAUCACCAGGCACAGCUGUCUGGCACUGGCCGAAAACAGUCACUGAUCGGAAAGAUGAGAAGAGAGUGUUUGGUGGUGAUGGAAGGUCCAUACAGAACCAAGUGCAAAUCAUCCUGAGCAAUGACAUAUCGUGAUUAUGAGGCUGUUGAUGAAACGAGUUGGGGUGGGAGUUGGCGGGGGUACUUUUGUAUGGCUCAUUCAAAGUCCCAUUUAUUUGUACUUGUAUGUAAGUAUAAUUAACAACAUUGCUCAUCAUUGUAUGUACAUGUAUAUAUUGUAUAGUAAGAGUUUUGUUCCGAAACAUGAGGUGUUAUCUCCAGAAUUGUCCACGAGUCUCGAAAGUUGCUUAUUUUAUCUGGCUGAAUUUCAUACCCCAACUAUCAUUUUAAUCCUUACCUGUGUUACAGUAGACUGUUGCACCCAUACUUAAGGUGAUAUUGCUGUUUAACUCACGUAAAUGGUUGAAUAUUGUAAUCUGUGAGUUCCUGUGGAUCGACUGAUUGUAUGUUCUAUGUAGUAAUGUUCACACACUACCUCCUGCAUUUUCAUUCAUUCAUUCAUUCCCCUCCUCCCACUCCACACCAAUCUUAUUUUUGGUCGUAUCCACCCCACUUCUCCCUCCUUAUCCACCUCUUCUCGGAUGCCGGGUGCGAUUGAGUAGGUUUGGUCUGAAGGGAGGACGAACUUCAAAAACUGCAGCAUUGGUGUCUGCUGGAACUGACUGCAUCCUGUUUGCAGAAUUUUAACAGGGAUUGUUAGGGGCUCUUGUCCUUUCUUACCAUUUUUUUCUGCGUGCUAGCGUGUGUGUGUGUGUCUGUGUGUGAGAGAGAGAGAGAGGGAGUGUGUGUGUGUCCUUCUGACUUUUUCCCAGCUUUUAUUGGUAUUCUCAUGUGAACUUCAGUUACCAGUAUCUAUAUUUCAAAACUUUCCUCCAUAUUUAUUCAAAAGAGUAACACUCUUUUAAUAUCAGUCUAUCACAACAUUUUUCCUCCUUCCAAAACAAAAAAACCCUUCAGUCAUGACAUUUCUCAAAUAACGAAUUGUUUUAUUUAUGAUACAUAUUGACAAAUGAAUAUUUCCUAAGACAUCAAUUAGAAAAACCGCCUAUACUGGGUCAGUUUUGCCUCUCUACAAUUUUUAGAUACGUUUUCUUGAAUAUUUUAAAAUAUUUUCCCCUUUAAUUUUACUUCGCCUAAGACUUUGAAAGUUAAUAGCUGGUCAGAGCGAAGUUGGUGAGAGCUGGGGAUACAUUAGAAGUAGAGAGGCUGAUUUGUUUGUCUCGUAAAUGUCUGUAGAUUCUUGCCGACCAACUCUUGCAAUGACUUGUAUGAUACGGGUGGAUAAAUGUCAAACUCGAGUUCCCCUCCAGAAACGAAAACUCAGAAGCUAAGGACUGCCGCCAGCUUUUUAUCCAAUUGUUUUAAUCAUCUGUUGUCCUCCUUGAACUCUUCAGAGCACAACAUUUUACAGUCCGAGCUCCCUGGUAAAAACACAAACUCCUAUUUAGAACCCAGAGGACAGGUAGUUGCAGGUAGUUCAUGAUUGAUAGUUCAUGAUUGAACACCACUGUUUUGUUCACUGCUGUGAACACCUAGACAUUGCAGAAGCCGCCUUGGACCAGGACAUUUCUAGGUUUAGUUUGGUUUUUGGAAGGUCGGGUCCUGUCCAACCAUGGUAAAUGUCUGCAUAUAUACUCGUAUACUGCUGAAGUAAAGAUUGACUCUUUGACAUUUCGUGACCAGCGAGGACUGUGUAAGAAUCAAAAUAUGUUUCGUGCAAUAUUCAUUGUUAGUUUUCUGGAUGGUGUGGUGAUGAAGCAGGAUCUGUAUGGUACCACUGCAUGUCAUAUCAACGUGCUGAAGCAUUGCUUUUCUUCAUUGCUCGUGAACGAAUUUGUACAGAGAAUCGUAUUUCAAAACGACAGUGUAUAUAUAAUAUAUACACACACAUACACAUACUUUGAAAUAAUUUCUAAACAUGAACUAUUGUAGAUACUGAAUGUGCUUUUAAAAUUUUAUCAUCUACUUUUUUUGUUCUAGAAAACUAGUUUCCCUUAGUCACCGUCGAAGACCAACUCAUCAACUCAUCGUGUCUGUAGUGUGUUUCUGUGUGUGAAAUGUAUUAUGUUGAGUUUUCCCUUUUUAUUCAAAAUAUUUCCAUGCUGCAUAAUUUUCACACUGAGGUGUUCUUUCUGUAUCAUUUGUAUGGAAUUCCUUUAUAUCAUUCUACCAUUCAUGUCUCUAAACUCACGCCUUUGCUCAUUAUCAGCUUCCAAUUUGAUUGUAUUUUGGGGCUUUUGUGUAGUUCAUUUUUUUCACACACUUUUUGUUGCCUGUAGAAUCUCACGUUUUUAUAUUAAUCGCAAUUCUUGCCACGAAGACAGAAGUAACUGUCUGUGUAUUAAGGAAACAAAGUGUUUUGUCAUGGUAUUUACAAGUUGCUCAACGACAAAUUUUGACUCUCGUGAAAGUCUGUACUCAACCUGUAGAGUUUUAUCACUAAUUACGAUCUCUAACUGGCAGAUAGCGGAAACAAGUGUUCAUGGUCUUGGCAUCCUUUUUGAAAUUUAUUUACAAAUCAGUUAUGUCCAGGGGAGAAAAGUUUCAAACUGAACUUAAGCGGAUGUUGCGAUCUGGCAAUUAAUAUGUAGAGAAAUUUCUUGCAACCCAGAAGAGAAUCAUAAGCUGAUGUGUUUUCCCUAAUUGUUAUAAUCAGUAGAUGAAUUACACCGAGUUCAAUCAGAAGUUCCAUAUAUAAUUAACCGAGAUAUAAUUCACAUAAUGGAUCACAGAAGUCCUGUGUGAGGAAUGCGUUAAUCACAUGCAUACCUGCACAUUUUACUAGACUGAGAAAUAUCUACUUUUUUUUUAGAACUAUUUUCAAGACAUUCCCACUAGAACUUUCUUUUUAUGGAACAGCUUCAAGGAUAACACCUUUUCGGAACAUCUUACCUGAAACACAUCUUGAACCAGGGGAGAGUCGGUGUGGAAGGAGAGAAGACAGAAGCUGUUGCAUUUUAACGAUGAUUUUCCCAAAGUCUCUGUCCUUUCCUAAUGAUAUUUCAAAUUUCAGAGUUUUAUUUUCAAGUAACAAAAUGUGGACAUGGUAUUGAGGAAUGUACAAGUUAAACUUUGAUUUUACCUGAUCAUUUAAACCCUCGACAUUGAUUUCGUAGGCAGGAAUGUGGGUCACUAGGGUCAGUUUGCACUCUUGAAUUUUAUUGAGUCUUGAAACAUAUAGUGCAGUCGUAUGGUUUCACUAUCUUACAUGCCAGGAUCCUCUUUAUUGUAAGCUCAAAAUUCCAUGUACGAAACAAAUCGACAAAUAAAAUUUCCUUCACAUGUGACGUGACAUU